UACGAAGGGGGCUAGCGUUGUUCGGAAUUACUGGGCGUAAGGCGUAUGCAGGCGGAUCGUUAAGUCGGGGGUGAAAUCCCGAGGCUCAACCUCGGAACUGCCUUCGAUACUGACGAUCUUGAGUCCGGGAGAGGUGAGUGGAACUGCGAGUGUAGUGGUGAAAUUCGUAGAUAUUCCCAAGAACACCAGUGGCGAAGGCGGCUCACUGGCCCGGUACUGCCGCUGAGCUGCGAAAGCGUGGGGAGCAAACAGG
rnacentral:rRNA from 1 species